rnacentral:lncRNA from 1 species
CAGCCAGAAGGGAUAAUAGCACCUAUUUCACCCAUACUCAAGUGUUCACUUGUUAGCAGGAACUGAGUCCCGGAGGAGGUGCAGGUGGAGCCAUUGAGGCAGCACUGCAGCUGGACCUGGGUCUGAGUCCCAGCUCCUGGCUGUGAUAUGCAUCACUCUCUCCAUUUAUUUAUCUGAAGGACAGGGCUGUGCUGUUCUGGGGUCACUGUGACAAUGCAGCUGGCCUGUGUGAGUUGGUGGUGGCCUCCUGAGAUGGUUUGAGGUGGGCUGGAGGUGUGUCUUGAAUGCCCCCUCACCCCCAUGGGGAAGACCCACUUAGGGAAGACUCAAGUGUCUGUAUGGAGGAACCCACAUUCCCUGCCCCUCAGCUGUCCUCUGUCCCUUCCUAGCCCCCUCUGCUGUCCUGCAGGCUCUGGCGGUGGCCAUCCAGCUUGGUGGCCAUCUGGCUGAUCCACUCCUCCAGGUGGACCCUCUGUCCUCAUGUGGUGCAGGUCCCAUUGUGCCACCUCCAGACAGGCCAUGCUAGCCCCAGGGCCUCCGUUCCCUGUUACCCAGCCCCCACCCCCAGAAGUACAGAGGAACCUGGUGCCGGCCGCAGUCAACCCCUAUGUGAUGAUCUUUCUACCCGCCCUCUUUCGUGUCUUGGUGCUGGCUGCUGUCUUUGGCCAGUAGGGGGCUGCAGGGGUCAGCCUCAGUCUCUGCCUUGGGAGCCUGCCUUACCUUGCCUGAACUCAAGCGAUCUGCCUGCCUUGGACUCCCAAAGUGCUGCAAUUAUAGGCGUGAGCCACUGCACCCAGCCCAGCCUUGACUUUGAAAUAUAUGUUGUACAUCCAGACAGCAGUGAACUCUGGGGGAACACCAAAGAUGAGGAGAAUGAGAGAAGAGAUACCUCCAAUUAAAGGAGUUAGGAAGAGAUGCUUGAACUUAUGUUUUAAAAAGUCAAUGCAGGUUGGGCACAGUGGCUCGCACCUGUACACACAGCACCUUGGGAGGCUGAAGUGGGUGAACGGCUGGAGCCUAGAAGUCUGAGACCACCCUGGGCAACAUGGCAAAACCCCGUCUGUACACAAAAUACAAUAAUUAGCCAGGCACGGUGGUGCCUGUGGUCCCAGCUACUCGGGAGGCUGAGGUGGGAGGUCGAGGCUGCAGUGAGCUGAGAUCCACCACUCCACUGCAGCCUGGGCGACAGAGUGACACCCUGUCUUAAAAAAAAAAAAAUGUCACUGUUUUGGGGUUUUCUGGGUGAAACCUCUGUUUCCAUAAAAAAAGAAAAAGGUCGAGACAGUGUGUAUUACUGAUUCAAAAUCAUAACCUGAUGCUUAGAGUAAAUCAUUGUAUCUAUUGUUUCAAAAACCAACGUCAGGAUUAUUAAAAGUUAAUUUUAUUGGGUUUUUCUUUAAGCUUGGCUGAUUCACUCAGGUCUGUCACUUCCAAGCCCAUGUUUUACUACUUUGUAACCCUAUUUGGAAGGAAAACUGCAGCUCACAUUAUGAUCCAUCCUGAGAUGAAGAGUUUCA